UAUAGGAAACCUGCUCAUGAAUUAAUUUAAAUAGCCGCGGAAAUUUAACCGUGGCUAAGGUAGCAUAAUCAUUAGCCUCUUAAUUAGAGGCUCGCAUGAAUGGUAAAACAUUUCAAUAUCUAUAUUAAUUAUAAAUCUUUAAUUUAAAUUAAGAAUUAAAAUGUUCUUAUGAUAUAAAUAGACGACAAGACCCUUUUGAACUUAACUUCAGUUUAGCUGGGGCAGCUAAUAAAAAAUUAUCUUUUUCCAUCUAUUUUAUUAAAUGACCCAAUAAAAUUGAUUUAUUGAACAAGUUACCAUAGGGAUAACAGCGUAAUAUUUUUCUAAAGUUCUUAUUUAAAAAAAUGAUUGCGACCUCGAUGUUGAAUUAAUGUUACUUUACAGAUGCAAUAAUUUUAUAAGUAGGUCUGUUCGACCUUUAAAUCAUUACAUGAUCUGAGUUCAAAACCGGAGA
rnacentral:rRNA from 1 species